rnacentral:rRNA from 1 species
UACGGGGGGAGCAAGCGUUGUUCGGAUUUACUGGGCGUAAAGGGCGCGUAGGCGGCCACCGCAAGUCAGUUGUGAAAUCUCUGGGCUUAACCCAGAACGGUCAGCUGAUACUGCGGGGCUAGAGUGCAGAAGGGGCAACUGGAAUUCUCGGUGUAGCGGUGAAAUGCGUAGAUAUCGAGAGGAACACCUGCGGCGAAGGCGGGUUGCUGGGCCGACACUGACGCUGAGGCGCGAAAGCCAGGGGAGCGAACGGG